rnacentral:rRNA from 1 species
GACGAACGCUGGCGGCGUGCUUAACACAUGCAAGUCGAACGGAAAGGCCCUGCUUGCAGGGUACUCGAGUGGCGAACGGGUGAGUAACACGUGGGUGAUCUGCCCUGCACUUCGGGAUAAGCCUGGGAAACUGGGUCUAAUACCGGAUAGGAGCCAUUUUUAGUGUGAUGGUUGGAAAGUUUUUUCGGUGUAGGAUGAGCUCGCGGCCUAUCAGCUUGUUGGUGGGGUAAUGGCCUACCAAGGCGGCGACGGGUAGCCGGCCUGAGAGGGUGGACGGCCACAUUGGGACUGAGAGAAGGCCCAGACACCUACGGGAGGCAGAAGUGGGGAAUAUUGCACAAUGGGCGCAAGCCUGAUGAAGCGACGCCGCGUGGGGGAUGACGGCCUUCGGGUUGGAAACUCCUUUCGCUAGGGACGAAGCUUUUUGUGACGGUACCUAGAUAAGAAGCACCGGCUAACUACGUG